GAUGAACGCUGGCGGCGUGCCUAAUACAUGCAAGUCGAGCGAACGGACGAGAAGCUUGCUUCUCUGAUGUUAGCGGCGGACGGGUGAGUAACACGUGGAUAACCUACCUAUAAGACUGGGAUAACUUCGGGAAACCGGAGCUAAUACCGGAUAAUAUUUUGAACCGCAUGGUUCAAAAGUGAAAGACGGUCUUGCUGUCACUUAUAGAUGGAUCCGCGCUGCAUUAGCUAGUUGGUAAGGUAACGGCUUACCAAGGCAACGCUGCAUAGCCGACCUGAGAGAGUGAUCGGCCACACUGGAACUGAGACACGGUCCAGACUCCUACGGGAGGCACCAGUAGGGAAUCUUCCGCAAUGGCCGAAAGCCUGACGGAGCAACGCCGCGUGAGUGCUGAGGAUCUUCGGUUCGUAAAACUCUGUUAUUAGUGAAAAACAUAUGUGUAAGUAACUGUGCACAUCUUGACGGUACCUACUCAAAAAGCCACGGCUAACUACGUG
rnacentral:rRNA from 1 species